CGCUCGGCAGCCGGGCGGCCCGGGGAGGAGCUCGGAGGCGGCGGCGCAGCCGCUCCCCACCGCCCCUGCCCAGAAGCCGGCCCGCCCCCGCCCCGCCCCGCCGGAACCGGCCGGCGGCCUCCCCCCGGGGCCCGCGCCGGGGCCGCAACGUGCCCCUUCCCCACAGCAGCGACGGCCGCCCGCGUCCUCUCCCCGUCUCCAUCCCCGUAUCGAACCCCCGCCUUAUUACCGACACCAGAGAGAACCGAAAGCGCGGUGACCAGGUCAUUCCCCGCAGCAAAGGGAUUAGAAAUUCCUUCGCGUUUGAUUUACCGCGCGUUAAGCAGGUGGUUCCACCUCUCCAGACCCUGCCCGGCCCGGGCGCCUUACCGACCCGGGGCUGUGGGGAGGGUUUCCUCAGGCAAGAGGACGCCUAGCGCUGGGCCCCUGCCCGCGCCCAGCGUGCGUGCGCCCUCGCACGCGAGGGAGCCCUUUCCGAGAACACGCGAGUUCGUCAGCCGCACGCAGCGCAUCGGAAUGGGCCGUCCUCGCUGGAGCCGAAGAUACCACUCUCAACUUCCAAACGUUACUGAAUUUCACGGUGGUGUGAGCUCAGCCCCCUUCUCGCAUGGGGCUGCCAGCAUUUCGGCCUGUACCCGUUACUGCCUGUGACACUCUGAAAAGGAAAGCAUGAAAUGCUGCAAAUACCAUGAAUUACAAAGAACCUAUCAACCAAAACUUUCAAAAUGCUGAAGGAGGAAACUGGAGCAGAUGAGACCAUAUCAAGACACCAAAAAUGGGUCACACAUGCUACAUUGAGUUCCCUUCAGAUACAGCAAGUGUCACAUAAAUCCAGCAAGUUCCAGCUUUUAGAAAUUAAAGGUUUUGCAAACUAAAAACCAGCUUUCAAGAGCCCCUGAACUAGAUUAGGACUGUAUAAACCAUCAGGCUGUAAGAGCUUGACAUCUUUUCAGCAGAUCUAUGCCAAGAAUGAUGUUCAAGACUGUUGGCUACAUAAGCAUAGCUACAUCAUCUCUGGCCUCCACCUUAGGAAUGGCCAACUCCUCCCACCCCACACGCAGUCCAGAUAUCAGUUCAUUCUAGGUAUUUCUGCACUGACCUGUUGGAGACACCCUGGAGAAAAGGGGCCGUUAUCAGGCCCGGACAACUCUGUAUCACUGUACUGCUGUUUGCUGCUGGAACUACAAGGACUCACAGCUCUUCAGUCCUAGGGCACCUAUUCCUGGUGCUGUUACGGUGACGGGAAAAGCCACCGCAGCAGCUUUCUGUUUCUGUUCUUGACCCACCUGAGGU